GGACCCGUAGCUCAGCCAGGACAGAGCGCGGGCCUUCGGAGCCCGUGGUCCCGGGUUCGAAUCCCGGCGGGUCCG
rnacentral:tRNA from 1 species